rnacentral:rRNA from 1 species
AUUGAACGCUAGCGGGAUGCUUUACACAUGCAAGUCGAACGGCAGCGCGGACUUCGGUCUGGCGUCGAGUGGCGCACGGGUGUGUAAUGUAUCUGAACGUGCCCAUUAGCGUGGUCUAACUACUCGAACGCGUAGCUAAUACCGCAUACUCCCUACGGGGGAAAGCCUGUGAUCCUAAGACCUUUCCCUAUUUUAGCCGCCGAUCUCGGAUUAGCUAGUUGGUUUGGUAACGGCUCACCAAGGCGACGAUCCGUAGCUGGUUUGAGAGGACGACCAGCCACACUGGGACUGAGACACGGACCAGACUCCUACGGGAGGCAGCAGUGGGGAAUUUUGGACAAUGGGGGCAACCCUGAUCCAGCAAUCCCGCGUGUGAGAUGAAGGCCUUCGGGUUGUAAAGCACUUUUGGCAGGAAAGAAACGAAGCGGGCUAAUACCCCGUGGAACUGACGGUACCUGCAGAAUAAGCACCGGCUAACUACGUG